rnacentral:tRNA from 1 species
GGAGAGGUGUCCGAGUGGCCUAUGGAGCACGCUUGGAAAGUGUGUGUACGUUUAUCCGUACCGAGGGUUCGAAUCCCUCCCUCUCCGCCA